rnacentral:tRNA from 1 species
GCCUUCGUGGUGUAACAGUAGUACACUUGGUGCAUAUUCGAGAAGUCCAGGUUCGAGUCCCGGCGAGGGCA